rnacentral:rRNA from 2 species
AAGGCGGCUACCUGGUCUGCAACUGACGCUGAGACUCGAAAGCAUGGGUAGCGAACAGGAUUAGAUACCCUGGUAGUCCAUGCCGUAAACGAUGAGUGCUAGGUGUUGGAGGGUUUCCGCCCUUCAGUGCCGGAGCUAACGCAUUAAGCACUCCGCCUGGGGAGUACGACCGCAAGGUUGAAACUCAAAGGAAUUGACGGGGGCCCGCACAAGCGGUGGAGCAUGUGGUUUAAUUCGAAGCUACGCGAAGAACCUUACCAGGUCUUGACAUCUUGCGCCAACCCUAGAGAUAGGGCGUUUCCUUCGGGAACGCAAUGACAGGUGGUGCAUGGUCGUCGUCAGCUCGUGUCGUGAGAUGUUGGGUUAAGUCCCGCAACGAGCGCAACCCUUGUUACUAGUUGCCAGCAUUAAGUUGGGCACUCUAGUGAGACUGCCGGUGACAAACCGGAGGAAGGUGGGGACGACGUCAGAUCAUCAUGCCCCUUAUGACCUGGGCUACACACGUGCUACAAUGGACGGUACAACGAGUCGCGAACUCGCGAGGGCAAGCAAAUCUCUUAAAACCGUUCUCAGUUCGGACUGCAGGCUGCAACUCGCCUGCACGAAGUCGGAAUCGCUAGUAAUCGCGGAUCAGCAUGCCGCGGUGAAUACGUUCCCGGGCCUUGUACACACCGCCCGUCACACCAUGAGAGUUUGUAACACCCAAAGUCGGUGGGGUAACCUU